GUACACGCUGUGACUAGCAUAUCAAUAAGCGGAGGAAAAGAAACUAACAAGGAUUCCCCUAGUAACGGCGAGUGAAGCGGGAAUGAGCUCAAAUUUGAAAUCUUAAAGGGUUUCCCUUUACGAAUUGUAGUUUAAAGAAGUGUUUUCUGUUGAGGUUUUGGUAAAAGUUCUUUGGAAUAGGACAUCAUAGAGGGUGAGAAUCCCGUAUUUGACCUUUACUUUCAACUUUGUGAUACACUUUACAAAGAGUCGGAUUGUUUGGGAAUGCAGUCCAAAAUGGGUGGUAAAUUUCAUCUAAAGCUAAAUAUUGGCGAGAGACCGAUAGCGAACAAGUACCGUGAGGGAAAGAUGAAAAGAACUUUGAAAAGGAGAGUUAAACAGUACGUGAAAUUGUCAAAAGGGAAGCGUUUGACACCAGUGUUGUUUUUCUGAAAAUCAAUUAAAGAACUGUUUAUGCUAAGUUGUUUAGACUUUAUCAGCUAACUGUUUAGUUUUGAGCUUUUCUUUAAUGCACUUUUCAGUUAACAAGUCAACAUCAAUUUCUUUUGCUGUAAAAAAGCUUGAGGAAGGUGGCUUGAGAUUCGUCUUAAGUGUUUAUAGCCUCUUGCCUAUGCAGUCGGAGAGAUUGAGGUCUGCAGCGUAGAUCCUUCGGGGCUAAAUGCAUUUGUGCUAAGUUAUAGCAUUUUAUAGACAACUUGUUGACUAUGAUUUGUCUUGUAGCUUACUCGCUUAUGUUAUUUUACCUACGCUUAGGAUGUUGAGUCGUAGAGCACGCAG
rnacentral:rRNA from 1 species